UACGUAGGGGGCAAGCGUUGUCCGGAAUCAUUGGGCGUAAAGAGCGCGCAGGCGGCUUGGUAAGUCGGAUGUGAAAUCUCGGGGCUUAACUCCGAAACUGCAUUCGAUACUGCCGUGCUUGAGGACUGGAGAGGAGACUGGAAUUUACGGUGUAGCGGUGAAAUGCGUAGAUAUCGUAAGGAAGACCAGUGGCGAAGGCGGGUCUCUGGACAGUUCCUGACGCUGAGGCACGAAGGCCAGGGGAGCAAACGGG
rnacentral:rRNA from 1 species